GUUUGGGCUCGUCUCGCUGAAUAACGUUCCCAAAACUAUCAGAGUUCGACCAUUUCAAUAUCGAACUAUAAAAAAUAUAAUUAAUUUCUUUUAUUCGUCUUGAAAAUACUUAAUAUCGCUUUACCUGGCUGUUUUUACUUAUUCGCGUGGAUAAAUCUUUAAAACCAAACUUAUUUUCUGUACCAAAUUAACUCUUGGACUUUUUGAUUACAGGUGUUGAUGACAACUUUGGCUCGGAGCCCUUCGCCGCUUGAUAAUCACGUGACCGGUCAAUUCAUCCGGUGGUCGGAUGAUACAUCUUCGCUAAUCAAACUCCAAAACAACUAUGUGAUCACGUGACUUCUGGAUUUGAACUUAUUUCUUUAACAUUCUCUUUUGAUUUCGGAACUGCAAGACAACUAUGUAUGCUCAAACUAUCAUUAAAAUAAAUGCUAACGCA